UGCAGUGAAAUAGAAGGGAGUGUACAAGAAAGAAAGAAUAUGCAUCUCUUUCUGUCACAUUGCAACAUAUUAUUUUAACCAGAAAUAUAGUCUAAUCCCUGCCCCUCUCUUUGCUAUAUAAAGCCAUGAUUCUUCAGAAAAUUACUCAAGAGCUGAGUGAAUCUCCAAGACAUUUAGCCCUGUCUCUCCAAACACCACGCCCACCUCCACCCCAAAGAAAAGCCCUGCCUUCCUUCUUCGACCCUCUCUUUUACCACUCUUACAUGAAGAAGUUCCAACAUAUAUUAAGCUAAAAAGUAGAAGGGGGUUCCAAAGUUUGUUCACUAAGAUUUUUUUAUGUGUUUUUGACUGUGUCCAAUUUUUCAUUUUUAUUCCAUGGAGAGAUGCUUGAAAUUUUUAAACUUCCAUUUUAUUGAAUAUUGAUGACGCGACUUUAGAAGAGAGCUUUCUUCAGUCCAGUUAUGGGAGGCCGUAGGAUUCAAUUUGCUGUUGACUCAUUCAUCCAAAUGCUGUGUAGUUGAUGAGUUUUACACGGUAACUGAGUGAAUGAUGCGAGAGUCAAGUUGAAUCUUAAGCUUUCUGUACUUGGACUGAAGGGAGCUCCCUUCCACUGUUUUCUUAUCCUGUACUGCUUAAGUUCACUUUAUAUUUUAGUUCUGUUUAGUAAUCAAUCAAGGUUUCAUUUUGCUUAAUUAUAGUCUGUUACUUUUAUGCUCUGAAGAACUUCAACUACCUGAACAAAGUCAGCAGAUUUAGGGUUUUGUCAAGCUCGAGAUUAUGCAGUGAACGACAAUUGUUUCUUGGGCCUUGCUCACUUGUUGCAACAAGUUCCCAGACAUGUCUUCAGUUUGUGCAAUUACCAAAAUAUCCUCUUGAUGUUAAUCUGGAACCCUACUAAUGGCUGCCUACAGAUGCAAUAUUCAACCUGGAUUCCAGUUCUCCCCCCCCCCCCCCACCCCCGUUCCCUUUGUAAAUUAGAUCUCUGGCAUUGGCUAUUAAUCGAACGUUCGACCAGCAUAGGUUUGAUUAUAUUGUGUAUUAUUAUAGAAUUAUCUGUUUCAGUCUUAUUUAUUUGUCAAAAUUUGAACAAUAUUUUGAUGAAUGUAUGAUUAAAAUGUGAA